CUUGAAGAUAGAUAAAUAUAAGAAGAACAAGAGAUGGAAUUUACUUAAACAAGAGUGAAAUUUGACUGAUCUGUAUGAUUGUUGUAGCGUAGGCAUGAGGCAUAAUAUAAACACAGUACCACCAAAUCUGCAUUUCAUAUGAUGUACAUUUCUAAAGCUACCUCAACAACAAAACAGAAACAGUUCUGCCGAAAAAUUUUUUGCCCGCCCAUGCCUAGCUAAUGAAAUCCAGUGGAUUCCUCAAUAGCCAUUCAUCUGUUUCUCAUAUUGCCAUAUAUUAAUAAUGUUUUCAUGUCUGCCUUUAAUUUCUAGGCUCUUCAGGUUGGAAAAGAUCUCAUGAAUAGUAAUUUUUUUGAAGAUUUACUUUCGUGCCGCUAAAUGAAAGUUUCUGGGAUGAACCAUGUUAUCCAGAAGCUGUAAGUAGUUGAAGAUGAAGCAGCUAGACGCAUUUAGGUUAUGAAAAAGCUCCUAUUUUUCUUUUCUUUUAUUACAAUUCCUUGUAGGGUACAUCGAGUCCACCGUUGAGAAGAAAUUAGCAUAGGAUAGGUCCAUUUGGAGUUAAGGAAUAAAAUUACGGCAGUUUAGACAAGAACUUUUAUCUAAGUGUUUAGAUAAAUUAAAUUACACAAUGUGUUUAAAGAAAAAAAUUUAAUUAAAUUAAUGUAUUUGGCCCAUAAAGCCAAUUAUUGAGGAGGAAAGUGAAGAAAGAAUAAAGAAUAAAGAGUGGAAGCAAUUAAAACCUUUUCUAAAAAAGGAAAAAACGAAAAGAAAAACUUUUCUUACACCUUUAUUAUAUAUAUAUAUAUA
rnacentral:lncRNA from 1 species